rnacentral:rRNA from 1 species
UACGUAGGUGGCAAGCGUUGUCCGGAUUUACUGGGCGUAAAGGGCGCGUAGGCGGCGCGGGCAGUCAACGGUGAAAGCUUGGGGCUCAACCCCGAGUCGGCCGUCGAUACUCCCGGGCUGGAGCACUGUAGAGGCAGGUGGAAUUCCGGGUGUAGCGGUGGAAUGCGUAGAGAUCCGGAAGAACACCGGUGGCGAAGGCGGCCUGCUGGGCAGUAGCUGACGCUGAGGCGCGACAGCGUGGGGAGCAAACAGG